GGUGGCACCAGAACUGACAAGGCAUUGAGAUUAGCCGAAAGGCAGUUUUUCUGUGAUUCCUGCAGAAGAGAUGGUGUUCCACAAGUUUUGCUCGUUAUCACAGACGGCAAUACUAAUGUCGGAUCUGAAGAUCUUGGAGUUGCUUCUAUGGGCAUGAAGGAAAGUGGUGUCACAAUCUUGUCUCUUGGUGUUGGCAAGGGUAUUUCAAUGUCGGAGUUGUUGUUGAUUGCGUCAGAGCCUAAAGCAAAGCAUGCUUUCCAACUCUCCAACUUUGAUCAAUUGAAGUCUAAGAUAAACGUCAUCCUCGAGAACGCUUGCGGAUCCGACUGAACCGCUAUCAAGGAGCUGGAAGAAACGAUCACUGAUUCGAUCAAGAACAGCACUCAUUCUAACUUCAUAUGGAACAUGAUUAUUUAGUUAUAUCUUAUCAACAAGUAACUUAUAAUGCUGUAAUCGUUUGUUCAAAACUUAUAUGUUAUCCAAUAUAAAAUUGAUAUGACUA